rnacentral:lncRNA from 1 species
AUUAUCAGGUUCUCUCCCCCAGCCGAUCCCCGGACAUGGAGGUGGCGGCGGAAAUUGAGGUUUUCCCGGCGGUUGGUAUAUAUAAUUAAGCCUAAGAUGUAAUGAAUAAAAUGCAUGCUUGGACGUGCAUACAUGCUCGUGGUGUGCCGGUUUUACUUGUUAUAUAUAUUAUGAUAUUAUGAUGAUGUAACCGUCUGAUUUAUGUAAUUUUGCUUACGCUAAUACACCAACUUUUAAGUAUUUUUAGUUUUGCAUAUAAAUUGAAAAUUUGGGUAAAAUGAUACAUACCUAUUUUGAAAGAUAAAACGUACAAAAUACCCUUCUUUUAUUUUGAAAGAUGAAACGUACAAAAUACCCAUCGUUUAUAGCAGAUANNNNNNNNNNNNNNNNNNNNNNNNNNNNNNNNNNNNNNNNNNNNNNNNNNNNNNNNAAAAAAAUACUACGCGGCGGAUAUCCCGGCGGAGGUUAUCCCGGCGGGCGGGAUAUCCCCCGGCGGAGGUUAUCCCCGGCGGCGGAAAUGGUGGAGGAAUUCCGCGCGGAUACGGAUCAGGUUCUCUCCCCAAGGCGAUACCCAGUUACGGAUCAGGUUCUCUCCCCCAGCCGGGCCCCGGACAUGGAGGUGGCGGCGGAAAUUGAGGUUUUCCCGGCGGUUGGUAUAUAUAAUUAAGCCUAAGAUGUAAUGAAUAAAAUGCAUGCUUGGACGUGCAUACAUGCUCGUGGUGUGCCGGUUUUACUUGUUAUAUAUAUUAUGAUAUUAUGAUGAUGUAACCGUCUGAUUUAUGUAAUUUUGCUUACGCUAAUACACCAACUUUUAAGUAUUUUUAGUUUUGCAUAUAAAUUGAAAAUUGGGGUAAAAUGAUACAUACCUAUUUUGAAAGAUAAAACGUACAAAAUACCCUUCUUUUAUUUUGAAAGAUGAAACGUACAAAAUACCCAUCGUUUAUAGCAGAUAGGAUCCUCUCUCCCACAAUUUAGGGUGUACCACUCUUAAGUUAUCUAUUUUAUAAUUAUUUGUUGUAAAAAUAAAAUAUAUUAUUUAUAACUAAAAAUUGAAAUUUUAAAAAAUUAUAUACCCUAAUUUUGAAUUAAUUAACCCAAAUAAUCAAUUAUUAAUUCAAAUAAAUAUAAAAAAAUAAUUAUAAACCCUAAUUGGAUGAGUGAACCCUUGUUAAUUAUCUUCUUAUUAUAUUAAAGCAUAAUAAAUUAAAAUUGAAGAAAAUAUAAUUAAAAAUUAUAAUAAAUUAAGAGUGAUACACGGUCGUACACACUAAAUUGUGGAACAGAGGAUCCUAUGUGAUUCUCAACUUGUAAUCGACAAUUGUCGAGUAUUAGUGUAUUUUCUAAGAAUCUUGGAAGAAAAUGGUGGCUGUGAGCCUGUGAGUAUCUCUAAAUUCAAAAUCCCACUUUUAAUUAAAUACCCGAUUGCUUCGACAAUUUAAUUUACUACGUUUGGCUCAAAAGAAUACCAUACAAGGUGAUCAAAAUUCUAGUUUUAGCUAUAUAUUACGCCAUGUUCGAUUACAAUUAUAAUCUUCCAAAUAAGAAAUUUCGACCUGUCUAUGAAUAUUCAUCGGUUCAAUGGAAAAAUCGAGAAUCGGAAUAUAGGAAAAAUCUUGGGCUUCUCAAACUCAAUGAUUGCUCAAGCAAUAGAUUGAGCCGAAACAUUCCAAAAUAAUUUUUAAUUCAGUAAGCUUUGGAUUAAUUUCCUUAAACCUAUAACAUCAAAAUCAAAUGAUACUCCCUUCGUUCCAUUACAAAUGUCUCACUUUUCAUAAUGGGAUGUAUGUAAUACCCGAUAAUAUUUUAUGAUUAAAUGUUAUUAUAUUUUUUAGAUGUUGUUCAUUUGGUAAACAAAUUUUAAAUAAAUAAGUUAUCA